CCAACCACCAGAGUCACAUCCUGCAGGUUACUCAGUGACAUCAAAGCUCCUGGGAAAUGUUGAUGUGAUCCUGUUGGUGAUUGGUUUCCUCAUCAUAAUGUGGUAUGAGAAUAUAUUAUAGUUUUAUAUUCUACAUUCCUGACUCCACCCCCAUGAAGAGCCAUGUUUCAAGACCACAGGAUGGUCAAUAUUGGAUUAAUUGCUACUGGACUUAACAUUGCUAAGUGAAAGGGGCAAGUUGGAGAGAACUGUAUGUCACUAUCUAGUUAAGGUCAAAUAUGCGAAGAUAAUAUCUGUUUAUAGUUUUUUUUAAAUAGAAUAAACAAUAAAAUAAAUUUAGACGGCUAUCUAUUUAGGGGAGAAGGGGAAAUAGCUAGAGGAGACAGGGCAAAAAGCUAGACUUUUUUGAAAAUAACUGACAAUAAAAAUGUGACUGUGAAACAGUGUAAAUAUGUUAAUUUUGAAAGUAUAAUCAAAUACAAAGGCAAAACCUAAAUGUCAAAAUAAAAAUAAACAAAUGAAGAAAAAUAUGCACCUAGUAAGUGACACACUAUGCAGAAAGGGAAUAUUCCAAGGGAUUCCUGAAUUUAGGCAUUUAGUUGUACUGUCAAAUUGAGUAGUGCACUGUGGUCAAUAAAUAAACAAAAUAAAAAUGUAAAAUAAGAUCCUAAA
rnacentral:lncRNA from 10 species